AUUGAACGCUGGCGGCAGGCUUAACACAUGCAAGUCGAGCGGGGAAGAGUAGCUUGCUACUUAACCUAGCGGCGGACGGGUGAGUAAUGCUUAGGAAUCUGCCUAUUAGUGGGGGACAACAUCUCGAAAGGGAUGCUAAUACCGCAUACGUCCUACGGGAGAAAGCAGGGGACCUUCGGGCCUUGCGCUAAUAGAUGAGCCUAAGUCGGAUUAGCUAGUUGGUGGGGUAAGGGCCUACCAAGGCGACGAUCUGUAGCGGGUCUGAGAGGAUACUCCGCCAAACUGGGACUGAGACACGAGCCAGACUCCUACGGGAGGCAGAAGGAGGGAAUAUUGGACAAGGGGGGGAACCCUGAUCCAGCCAUGCCGCGUGUGUGAAGAAGGCCUUUUGGUUGUAAAGCACUUUAAGCGAGGAGGAGGCUACCGAGAUUAAUACUCUUGGAUAGUGGACGUUACUCGCAGAAUAAGCACCGGCUAACUCUGUGCCAGCAGCCGCCGUAACAC
rnacentral:rRNA from 1 species